GCGAACGCUGGCGGCAGGCCUAAUACAUGCAAGUCGAACGGCUUCUUCGGAAGCAGUGGCGGACGGGCGAGUAACGCGUGAGAACGUGCCCUUUGGUACGGAACAACUGAGGGAAACUUCAGCUAAUACCGUAUGUGCCCUUCGGGGGAAAGAUUUAUCGCCAUUGGAGCGGCCCGCGUUAGAUUAGCUAGUUGGGGGGGUAAAGGCCUACCAAGGCAACGAUCUAUAGCUGGUCUGAGAGGAUGAUCAGCCACACUGGGACUGAGACACGGCCCAGACUCCUACGGGAGGCAGCAGUAGGGAAUCUUGCGCAAUGGGCGAAAGCCUGACGCAGCCAUGCCGCGUGAAUGAUGAAGGUCUUAGGAUUGUAAAAUUCUUUCACCGGGGACGAUAAUGACGGUACCCGGAGAAGAAGCUCCGGCUAACUUCGUGCCAGCCGCCGCCGUAA
rnacentral:rRNA from 1 species